rnacentral:rRNA from 1 species
CGUAAACAAAGGGAAGCGAGACCGCGAGGUGGAGCAAAUCCCAGAAAUAACGUCUCAGUUCGGAUUGUAGUCUGCAACUCGACUACAUGAAGCUGGAAUCGCUAGUAAUCGCGAAUCAGAAUGUCGCGGUGAAUACGUUCCCGGGUCUUGUACACACCGCCCGUCACACCAUGGGAGUCAGUAACGCCCGAAGUCAGUGACCCAACCUAUUAGGAGGGAGCUGCCGAAGGUGGGACCGAUAACUGGGGUGAAGUCGUAACAAGGUAAC